GAUGAACGCUGGCGGCGUGCCUAAUACAUGCAAGUCGAGCGAACAGACGAGGAGCUUGCUCCUCUGACGUUAGCGGCGGACGGGUGAGUAACACGUGGAUAACCUACCUAUAAGACUGGGAUAACUUCGGGAAACCGGAGCUAAUACCGGAUAAUAUAUUGAACCGCAUGGUUCAAUAGUGAAAGACGGUUUUGCUGUCACUUAUAGAUGGAUCCGCGCCGCAUUAGCUAGUUGGUAAGGUAACGGCUUACCAAGGCAACGAUGCGUAGCCGACCUGAGAGGGUGAUCGGCCACACUGGAACUGAGACACGGUCCAGACUCCUACGGGAGGCAGCAGUAGGGAAUCUUCCGCAAAGGGCAAAAGCCUGACGGAGCAACGCCGCGUGAGUGAUGAAGGUCUUCGGAUCGUAAAACUCUGUUAUUAGGGAAGAACAAAUGUGUAAGUAACUAUGCACGUCUUGACGGUACCUAAUCAGAAAGCCACGGCUAACUACGUG
rnacentral:rRNA from 1 species